GAAUUCGCCCUUAGAGUUUGAUCCUGGCUCAGGACGAACGCUGGCGGCGCGCCUAACACAUGCAAGUCGAACGGAGCUGAGAGGAGCUUGCUUUUCUUAGCUUAGUGGCGAACGGGUGAGUAACGCGUGAGUAACCUGCCCUGGAGUGGGGGACAACAGUUGGAAACGACUGCUAAUACCGCAUAAGCCCACGGCCCGGCAUCGGGCUGCGGGAAAAGGAUUUAUUCGCUUCAGGAUGGACUCGCGUCCAAUUAGCUAGUUGGUGAGGUAACGGCCCACCAAGGCGACGAUUGGUAGCCGGACUGAGAGGUUGAACGGCCACAUUGGGACUGAGACACGGCCCAGACUCCUACGGGAGGCAGCAGUGGGGGAUAUUGCACAAUGGGGGAAACCCUGAUGCAGCGACGCCGCGUGGAGGAAGAAGGUUUUCGGAUUGUAAACUCCUGUCGUUAGGGACGAUAAUGACGGUACCUAACAAGAAAGCACCGGCUAACUACGUGCCAGCAGCCGCGGUAAAACGUAGGGUGCAAGCGUUGUCCGGAAUUACUGGGUGUAAAGGGAGCGUAGGCGGGAAGACAAGUUGGAAGUGAAAUCCAUGGGCUCAACCCAUGAACUGCUUUCAAAACUGUUUUUCUUGAGUAGUGCAGAGGUAGGCGGAAUUCCCGGUGUAGCGGUGGAAUGCGUAGAUAUCGGGAGGAACACCAGUGGCGAAUGGCGGCCUACUGGGCACCAACUGACGCUGAGGCUCGAAAGUGUGGGUAGCAAAACAGGAUUAGAUACCUCUGGUAGUCCACACCGUAAACGAUGAUUAUUAGGUGUUGGAGGAUUGACCCCCUCAGUGCCGCAGUUAACACAAUAAGUAAUCCACCUGGGGAGUACGACCGCAAGGUUGAAACUCAAAGGAAUUGACGGGGGCCCGCACAAGCGGAGGAACAUGUGGUUUAAUUCGAUGAUACGCGAGGAACCUUACCCGGGCUUAAAUUGCAGAUGAAUUACGGUGAAAGCCGUAAGCCGCAAGGCAUCUGUGAAGGUGCUGCAUGGUUGUCGUCAGCUCGUGCCGUGAGGUGUCGGCUUAAGUGCCAUAACGAGCGCAACCCUUGUUGUCAGUUACUAACAGGUUCCGCUGAGGACUCUGACAAGACUGCCAUCGUAAGAUGUGAGGAAGGUGGGGAUGACGUCAAAUCAGCACGGCCCUUACGUCCGGGGCUACACACGUGUUACAAUGGGGGGUACAGAGGGCCGCUACCACGCGAGUGGAUGCCAAUCCCCAAAACCUCUCUCAGUUCGGACUGGAGUCUGCAACCCGACUCCACGAAGCUGGAUUCGCUAGUAAUCGCGCAUCAGCCACGGCGCGGUGAAUACGUUCCCGGGCCUUGCACUCACCGCCCGUCA
rnacentral:rRNA from 1 species